rnacentral:rRNA from 1 species
GGGUUGUGAGGUUAAGCGACUAAGCGUACACGGUGGAUGCCCUGGCAGUCAGAGGCGAUGAAGGGCGUGCUAAUCUGCGAUAAGCGCCGGUAAGGUGAUAUGAACCGUUAUAACCGGCGAUACCCGAAUGGGGAAACCCAGUGUGAUUCGUCACACUAUCAUUAACUGAAUCCAUAGGUUAAUGAGGCGAACCGGGGGAACUGAAACAUCUAAGUACCCCGAGGAAAAGAAAUCAACCGAGAUUCCCCCAGUAGCGGCGAGCGAACGGGGAGGAGCCCAGAGCCUGAAUCAGCAUGUGUGUUAGUGGAAGCGUCUGGAAAGGCGCGCGAUACAGGGUGACAGCCCCGUACACAAAAGCGCAUGUGCUGUGAGCUCGAUGAGUAGGGCGGGACACGUGGUAUCCUGUCUGAAUAUGGGGGGACCAUCCUCCAAGGCUAAAUACUCCUGACUGACCGAUAGUGAACCAGUACCGUGAGGGAAAGGCGAAAAGAACCCCGGCGAGGGGAGUGAAAAAGAACCUGAAACCGUGUACGUACAAGCAGUGGGAGCCCCACCACUAAGCCAGUGGUGAACUCCACAUCCGCAUCCUUUGCUGAGGAUACGGUUAACGGAGCGAAAGCGACGUUCAACCGCAAAACAAGCAGAGGGGGCUUAGUGGUGGGGUGACUGCGUACCUUUUGUAUAAUGGGUCAGCGACUUAUAUUCUGUAGCAAGGUUAACCGAAUAGGGGAGCCGGAGGGAAACCGAGUCUUAAUUGGGCGUUAAGUUGCAGGGUAUAGACCCGAAACCCGGUGAUCUAGCCAUGGGCAGGUUGAAGGUUGGGUAACACUAACUGGAGGACCGAACCGACUAAUGUUGAAAAAUUAGCGGAUGACCUGUGGCUGGGGGUGAAAGGCCAAUCAAACCGGGAGAUAGCUGGUUCUCCCCGAAAGCUAUUUAGGUAGCGCCUCGUGAAUUCAUCUCCGGGGGUAGAGCACUGUUUCGGCUAGGGGGCCAUCCCGGCUUACCAACCCGAUGCAAACUGCGAAUACCGGAGAAUGUUAUCACGGGAGACACACGGCGGGUGCUAACGUCCGUCGUGAAGAGGGAAACAACCCAGACCGCCAGCUAAGGUCCCAAAGUCAUGGUUAAGUGGGAAACGAUGUGGGAAGGCCCAGACAGCCAGGAUGUUGGCUUAGAAGCAGCCAUCAUUUAAAGAAAGCGUAAUAGCUCACUGGUCGAGUCGGCCUGCGCGGAAGAUGUAACGGGGCUAAACCAUGCACCGAAGCUGCGGCAGCGA